rnacentral:misc_RNA from 1 species
AAGUCGUAACAAGGUUUCCGUAGGUGAACCUGCGGAAGGAUCAUUACUGAGAGGUUACUAAGACUCUUGGGUUGGGUUUCUAUACUCUUCUCUUGAGUUUCCUCACGGUUUUGUGCAAUGUUGGGUCACCUUGGUUGACUCUGCCCUAAGUAAUUGGGCUGGCCUUUGGGGCCCCUAGUAUGAUUUAUCAUACUAACCCCAGAGGUUAAUUUCUACUAUGUCUAUGAAUUGAUGUAUGAAAAAGUUAUUUGUUAACUUGAAGGCUUUGCUGUAAAAAGUGAGUCUUUAAAAACAACUCUUGGCAAUGGAUCUCUUGGUUCUC